UGGAUCAAAGAAUAGGGAAUUAACAUCUGUAGGUGAAGAACAGUUUGGUGUCAUGCUGGGAAGAGGAAAGAUAGAUGCAAUGUUUGCCCUCGACAGAUGGUGGAAAAACACUUGGAAAAGCAGAAAGGACUGUGCAUAGUAUUCAUAGAUCUGGAAAAAGCCAUAACAUAGAGUCCCACACCAUGAGAUUUGGAGAUGUAUGCGAGUAAAGGGAACACCGGAGAAGUGCGUGAGUUAGGUCCAAGAUAUUUAUGAAGAAGCAAAAAUGCAGGUUAGAAGCAGUGUUGGAUUAACUGAAUGGAUACCAGUAAGAGUUGGUUUAGUACACCAAGGAUCUGCUUGAAGGCCCUAUCUUUUUUACUUGAUUAUGGAUGUGCUAUCUCAAGGAAUAAGAAAUCAGUUCCCAAGAUGCAUGCUGUUUGCUGAUGGCAUCAUGUUAUUAACCACGAACCGAGGGGUAGUGGAGUCAAAACUACAGCAGUGGAGGAAGCUGCACAGUAGCCAAAAGAAGUGUUCAUUCAGUGGAGACGGUUACUGGAAAUAUUCCUUGAUGUUCCUUCAGUAGCAGUUAUCUUCACAGGUAUAAAGUGUGGGAGCCCUCAGCAGUUUGGAUUCAACGCAUCAGAACAUACAACAUACGCAUAAUUAGGACAUGAUAACAGUAGUACUUGAGUUGAGGACCUGCUCAACUCAUAAAAUGCAUCCAUUUCUGAUUACAUACUAUAUUUAAUGUAAAUUAUCACAGCCAAAGCUCUUCAUACAGGGAGAACUAUUGUAUAUAACUUGAAAUAUUUGGAGGAAGCAGAGCUCGUGGUUGUUAGACCCCAACUCCAGUUGUGUUGAUCUUGUUGGCGUUGUUGUUUAAACCCACAUCUGAGGACCCUUGACCGAUGGAGUUGGUGUGUUGUAGUCUUCUUCAAUGUCCGAGCCCAGGUACGCCUCGUUAAGUGAUGCCUACAAAUCCAGUGUGUUUAUACCCUUCAGUCUAGUGUACAACAUAUGUUCUUAACAAUGCCCACCACCGUAUUUUACUUUUCCACUAGGUCAGCUAAAUCAUGCACACCUACACUGUGUAUUAUUAUUGUUUUCACAAGACAAAGUCUUCAUAUUUUUCUUACUAAAUUUAACCAUCACCCAAAUUUUGCAAGGAUUUUCUAAAGUAAUCAUGCAGUCACUUGAUGAUUGUUAGUUAUUUGCACUUUGUUCUGGAAUAAACAGUUUUCAGAUUUUUCAUUGUAGACAAUGUUAAAAAGAAUAAAAGCUAGAUUCAAAACCCAUGCAGCAAGAUGGCAUGAAAGAAACUAUGCAUUAUUUGAUAGGUACAAAUCAAUUCCAACUUUGACAGAAGAUUUUGACACAAUAAUUUGAAGGGUGCAGAAAUGAGCAAGCACAUUUACGCCAAUAUAUACCAGUGGAAAACAAGACUAUUUUAUUUUGUGACAAACACUUGCAGAAAUAAUAUAUAUGUAAUGCUUUCAUGUC